rnacentral:tRNA from 1 species
AAAAUAGCAAAGAUUUGACUUCGAAUCAAAUAAAGAUUUUUUAAAUCCUAUUUUA